ensembl:lncRNA
GGUCAGUAUUUUUGAUCCAGGUCUGGUCAGUUGAUAUUUGAUCCAGGUCUGGUCAGUUGAUAUUUGAUCCAGGUCUGGUCAGUUGAUAUUUGAUCCAGGUCUGGUCAGUUGAUAUUUGAUCCAGGUCUGGUCAGUUGAUAUUUGAUCCAGGUCUGGUCAGUAGUCAGUUGAUAUUUGAUCCAGGUCUGGUCAGUAGUCAGUUGAUAUUUAAUCCAGGUCUGGUCAGUUGAUAUUUGAUUCAGGUCUGGUCAGUUGAUAUUUGAUCCAGGUCUGGUCAGUUGAUAUUGGAUUCAGGUCUGGUCAGUUGAUAUUGGAUUCAGGUCUGGUCAGUUGAUAGUUGAUCCAGGUCUGGUCAGUUGAUAUUUGAUCCAGGUCUGGUCAGUAGUCACUUGAUAUUUGAUCCAGGUCUGGUCAGUUGAUAUUUGAUCCAGGUCUGGUCAGUAGUCAGUUGAUAUUUGAUCCAGGUCUGGUCAGUAGUCAGUUGAUAUUUGAUCCAGGUCUGGUCAGUAGUCAGUUGAUAUUUGAUCCAGGUCUGGUCAGUAGUCAGUUGAUAUUUGAUCCAGGUCUGGUCAGUAGUCAGUUGAUAUUUGAUCCAGGUCUGGUCAGUAGUCAGCUGAUAUUUGAUCCAGGUCUGGUCAGUAGUCAGUUGAUAUUUGAUCCAGGUCUGGUCAGUAGUCAGUUGAUAUUUGAUCCAGGUCUGGUCAGUUGAUAUUUGAUCCAGGUCUGGUCAGUAGUCAGUAG